AUUAGACGGGGAUUUCGUCAAAAUGCAAUUAGAGGUCAUAAAGAUUGAAAUUCAUCUUCAUAUUUGAGUCACUUUUCUAGAUAGGAUUAUUGUCAAAAUGCUCCAACUCCACUUUUUAGAAGAAAAAUAAACAAUCUUGGCAUUUACAGUUUAUUCAGAGUUGUUAUAUAUGAGAAUGAAGUUGCUAAUCUUGAUAACCAUAUGAUGUAUGCUUUGUAUGUUUAUUGAGUUGACUUAUAUUGCAAGGUCAUAUCAAAAUUUAUGCAAAUCCACUUGUCAUUGCUGAAUACCUGUGUAUAUUGUUAAGAGAUGCGCAUUACGUAUAUAGGGAGUUAUUUGAUACUCUGGCAGCGUAUGACACUUAACAAUAUAUUUCUUGUUUGUAGAAUCAUUGAUCUAUUGUACAACUAAGUAACAUGUUUUUUGUAUCAAAUCCAUUUUGAAUUUUAUUGUCCCUCUAGUGAAGAUGGUUUGGAUUUUUGGGGCGGCUCAUGCAGGUGAAAUACCUUUGAAUCAUGAAAGCAACUCACAAGACUAAUGUAGAUUUUUACUUUGGCAUGUGAAAUCAUUUCUUUUAUGGACACGAUAUGUACUAAAAACCUUCUUGCAGUCAUCAGGAUAUUUGUGUCGGGACCUGUACCAUUUUAGUUCUGUCUUUCUUCAAUAAAGCAGUGGUGUGUCUAUAUUGAACUGAAACUUGAAUUUAAUGUCUGGAACAUGCUAGAUUGGGCUCUUAGUCAAUUGCUGACUGAGAGGAUCACUAUUCUGUCUACCUACUAUUAUGGUACAUUUAAAUUGACACCUCAGUUUACAGAGGAUUAUCCAAAUAAGCCACCAACAGUUCGGUUUGUUUCUAGAAUGUUUCAUCCAAACAGUUUUAGGCAUGGAUGAAUGGGAGCUAUAGAUCGAUGGAUUUUAUUAUUAUUAUUAUUAUUUUGAAACUAUUCGAUUUAUUAUUGUAAAUAUUAUUCGCGGCAGCUCGAUGCAUGUGAAGGGGCCACAUAGGCAUGUAUUUUUUAUUAGGAAAACAAUCACUAGGCACAAUCGACUUCCUAAGAGGAAUGUGAAAUCAAGUGGGCCUUGACCAAAAAGGUCAAUGAUAAGGUCCAUCAUUUUAUGAGUUGGAGAGGCAGAACUCAUAAAAUCGGACUCACUGUGAGUCGGGCAUCUAUUUUGUGUCAUUUCCUCCUCUUUUUAUUAUAAACUGAAUGUUUGCAAUCUAAUGAGCCUGUACAUCCAAAACUGCAGGCAACAUGAAGCUGCCAUAGGCAAUGGAAAAGAGAGCUUAACUAGUAAGGCAUAGGGAAA